UACGGGGGGGGCAAGCGUUGUUCGGAAUUACUGGGCGUAAAGGGCUCGUAGGUGGCCAACUAAGUCAUGCGUGAAAUCCCUCGGCUUAACCGGGGAACUGCGUCUGAUACUGGAUGGCUUGAGGUUGGGAGAGGGAUGCGGAAUUCCAGGUGUAGCGGUGAAAUGCGUAGAUAUCUGGAGGAACACCGGUGGCGAAGGCGGCAUCCUGGACCAAUUCUGACGCUGAGGAGCGAAAGCCAGGGGAGCAAACAGG
rnacentral:rRNA from 1 species